rnacentral:rRNA from 1 species
GAUGAACGCUAGCGGCAGGCCUAAUACAUGCAAGUCGAACGGAAUAUAGUUUUCGGAUUAUAUUUAGUGGCGCACGGGUGAGUAACACGUACAUAACUUACCCUCAAGAGGGGGAUAGCCUUGGGAAACUGAGCGUAAUACCCCAUAGUAUUAUUGAACGGCAUCGUUUGAUAAUUAAAGCUACGGCGCUUGAGGAUAGAUGUGCGUCUGAUUAGCUAGUUGGUAAGGUAACGGCUUACCAAGGCGACGAUCAGUAGGGGGCGUGAGAGCGUGGCCCCCCACACGGGUACUGAGACACGGACCCGACUCCUACGGGAGGCAGCAGUAAGGAAUAUUGGUCAAUGGAGGGAACUCUGAACCAGCCAUGCCGCGUGAAGGAUGACGGCCCUCUGGGUUGUAAACUUCUUUUGGAU